GUUCGGUUGCUACUAACGUAUGUGUUGUGUGCGUGCGUGUGUUUUCUUCGCACGGACCUGGAAAAACCGUCGAUAGUUUUUCCGCAUUUUCCCCUAAACUUAACUCGGGAGUAACGGGGGGCGCGGGUGUCACUUUUCCUGUGGAUUUUUCAGUGCUACGCCCCGCAGGUUAUGGACGCGGAUUCGACUGGAAACUAGCUGUUUUGAUAACACCAAUGGAAGAAAAUGACGAUCCACAAGCGGACGUACCGAGCGCCCAUAACACUCAGGAAAUAUUCCAGAGAGCGCAGGAAACACAAGCGGAUCGAAGAUUUCCGGUGAACUCGUCAGGGAUUGUGGCGGUACCCCGCGGGAGCAAGGGCCCCAGGAGUCUCUACCUCAAACGCUAUGGAGACAGUUUCGGAUUUACGCUCAGGCACUUUAUCGUUUAUCCGCCAGAGGGCGUCACUGAGAACGACGGGCGUCACGCGGCCUGCGGCGCCCUCCUAGCCCCGCUGGACACCAUCUUCGUAAAGCACGUGCGCGAUCGCAGCGCCGCCAAACAGGCGGGUUUGCAACGUGGUGACCGUCUGGUGGCCGUCAACGGUCAACCCACCACCGACCUCACGUACCAGCAGGUGGUCAACCUCAUCUCCAAGAGUCCCGACUACCUUCAUUUACUCGUGGUGCCCAAGGAAGAAGACGUCUUACAAAGGUUUUUCCCGGAUACCGCCUACAACCCGGUUUCCAACCAGGAUAACGGUCCCGUUUACCCGGAGGUACCACUGGAUCGGGCGACUGCACAGCAGAUCCUCACGCAGCGUAUCGCACAGCGUGCCGCCCCUCAGGAGUUCCGGGUGGACGCCGCCUCUUGGCGGUACUUGAACCAACCCUACUUUCCAGAGUACGACUACCAGCAUCAUCAUCCAGGAUUAGUCAGGGGUUCCAGGCAGGAGUAUUCUAAUCGUAGCACGGACAGCGUAUUGGAUCCCAGAAGACCGCAACAACAUCAAGAGAUUUAUGCAGAGAUCCACCAUCCAAAUGAGGUGCAGCUACGUCAAAAGUCCCGGGCCCAACCCCAAGUGCCACUUUACCGUAAAAUGGGGCGGCGAGCGAGCGAGGGCAGCCACCUGGUGCCGCCCGGUGGCGGCGGCGACUACAGUGGCGCCACUUCGUUGACUUCCUCGGACGGCGAGAAUUAUUACUACCACGAGAGGAUGAGGGCGAUGCAAAACAAACCCUACUAUUUGCCUUCGAGUGGAGACGGUUUGGCAACGAUGGACGCGGGGUGCAGGUUACAGAGCAGCGAGGCGACAAGGAGGGAGAGCACUAGCUCCAUUUCGUCUUCCAUAGCUGACAGUAGCAAAGGCAGUACCACCACCUCGUACGAUUCAAACUCGACCCUGACCGGCCACGAGAUGGACGAGGAGGCGAGCCGCCUGGCGGCCGAACUGCGCGUGCGCCAAAGCGUACGUCAAAAAGAGGAGUUCCUGCGCACGCCCGUGGUACGCGAGUUCCACGGCAAGCCCAAGAGACUGGAACGACCCGUGUGGCCCCCGAACGGCACCCUGGGAAUCCCGUACGAGGGCGAUUACGGGGGCGUGCCCGACACGGCCGCGCCCACCGCGCACGCGUACUCCCCACGUGACCGACGACCUCUGGGUCUGGAGGGCGUGCGUGAGGCGGAAACCGCGCCCUCGUUUGCCGGCGAGGGCGUGGCCGUGGUGCAGAGCGCCGCGGCCGACGACAGACGGAGCGUUAUCAAUUACAUUUUGGCCUAUUUGUUUCCCAUGAUGAACCACUACCACCACGCCUUCCAAAACGUGCAGAAGAAAGCGAAGGAGUUCGAGACGUGCGCCGAGGACAGUCCCCGCACCGACUUGUCACGAAGCGAACUCGCCCGACUCAGCACCAAAGUGCUGCAGCCGAACGUGACCGAGCGGGCGCACGAGUACGAGGCGAAAACGAACGAGGGCGCACGAACGAAACCGACCGGUGCCACGCCCUCGCUGCCCGUGACGUCGUCCAAUACGUGUUCGGUGCUUAAAAGGAUACAAAAGGACAGCCGAUCCCUGGAUAGUUCUGGUAGCAACGGUAGCGUCUACCACGAUCCCCUGUCCAGUUUGUCAAAGCAACAACGGCUCUCCGGGAAUGUUAUCAUUUCCAGCGGGAGCAAGUACAUUCACUGUCCGCCGCCAGAGGGCGCAGCCAAGAGUCAAGAUAUAUCCUCAAACAACGAGACGACGUCGCGCCCAUUUAGGGCGCGGUCCAACUCGGCCGAGUCCUGGACAACCGCCAACGGAGACAAAGAGUCGGCCACGCCCCCGAUGGUCACGCCCCCGGUCGCUCCCUCGCCUCACUCCGCCUCGCCGCUCCUCGUGCCGCUCCCGGUCCUCCAGAUGCACUUUCCCCAUCAUCAAACCGUUGGGGGGGCCACGCCCCCGCCACGCCCUCACACCCUGGAUUUGGCGGAGGAGCGGCCCCAGAGGCCCGCCCGGGGGCACUUUAAGUCGCACGCCGAUACUAACCCGGUUGUCGUGAAGCGACGUAUUAAAAAUAACUUUGGUCAAGACGAACGAAACAGGCGGCCAGAGUCGUACCUGAAGGCGACCAAGGGCGACCAGACGUCCUUCGGGAGUGACCUUAGCGACAACGAAGAUUUGACCCCCCAAGGGAUGAGAAACCGGUAUAGGAAGUGGCAACCAUCCCCGUUCUAUGGGGACAUCGAGCAGCUACGCAAAUUAUUCGAAGACUCUUCUAAAGGCGGGAGCGGAAGUAGUAGUAGCUCUUUGGAUCGCGAGAAAUUCCCGCCGCCAGUGACUUCGGUGGUGCAAUACAAGAAGGACUCGAAAGUAAUCCGGGAGGGGUUGGUGCAUUGUAAGAUCCUACAGAUCGACGGGAAGAGGGCGGCCGACAGAUCCUGGAAACAAGUCACCAUGGUGCUCAAAGGACCCAAGUUGUUCCUUUAUAAAGAACGUCAUCAUCAUCAAAGUCCUCUGGGAACCUCGGACGUUUCCCUGGACCAAUCCCUGUCCGGAGGCGUAGACAUGCGCACGAGCGUAGUACGGGUCGCCGAGGACUACACCAAACGUAAAAACGUGCUACGACUAUCCAGCGUGAAUCCCUGCAGAUCGGAAUUCCUCAUCCAGACGGAGAACAGUGAGGAUUUAGCUGAUUGGGCCAAAACUUUACAGGAACAAGUCGCUGUCAGCACCAAGGCCGAACUAGAUCCGUCGUUCAGUAGACAACAAGCGGUACCGCAAACCCACCCGGCAUCGACCAGCAUUCAGGUGCAGGGCAGCCAUUUGUCGCCUCAACCGUCCGCGAAAAAUGGCAAAUCGACGAUGGCGGGUAGUACCAGAAAUCGAUCGCCUACCGGACAGUCGCCGGUAAGUAAAACGAGGAAACCGUCUGCCCAACAUGACCCUACAGUGCACACCAGUCCCAAAAGUAAAACGUGGCGGGGCAGGGUGGCCAAACAGUUCAAGAAGUUUAAUCAGGGUGGGCAUUCUCCUAGUAGCCCUACGGCACCUGAGGGGUCAACAUUCGGGGUGCCCAUCGAGCACUGCAUCCCCUCCCAAGAGAACUGCUACCUGCCGCGCAUCGUGAAAGUCUGCACGGACAUAAUCGACGAGAAAGGCCUCCAAAUGAAGGGAAUCUACCGGAUUCCGGGCAAUUGCGCCGCCAUUACGGCCCUAACGGAGGAAAUCAACCGGAACUACGAGGACGUGCCCUUGGAGGACCCCAAGUGGAACGACAUCCACGUGGUGAGCAGUCUGCUGAAAUCCUAUUUCCGGAAAAUGCCGGACAGUUUGAUCACCGCCGCCUCGUAUCCGCAAUUCGUUAAGGCGGAUAAGAUUGAGGAUCCUAAAGGGCGACUGGAGGAGCUUAAGAGGCUGGUGCGAGCACUGCCGAGGCACAAUUACUACACGUUGAAACACGUGGUGGGUCAUCUGAAGCGCGUGAACGAUAAUUCCCACGUGAACCAGAUGGACACGAAGAAUUUGUCGAUUGUUUUCGGCCCCACGAUCUUUCUUACCGAUAAUGACACCAUGGAGGUCAUGGUGGCCAAUAUGAACAACCACGCAAAUAUUGUUCAAAGUUUGAUUACGCAUGUCGAUUGGUUCUUCCCUGAAGACGAAUCGGAGUCCCCACCCCAACCCCCGUUGGUCCCUUUGGCGAUUCCAGACAACUAUGACGACUUUGAGGCGAGUAAUCAGGUACUACUGAACAACAUUGGCAAAUUUGAAGUUUCAGCAUUAAACAAGGAACAAAAAGAGAAAAACGGCGCCCUCUUGUCGUCUCUGUUUACCGCGGCCCAAAGAAAAGUGAUGCGCAAACCCUCGAGAAGCCACAAUAACCAAGAGGGCGGCGGAGGCAGGGAAGAACCGACCACGCCCACCAGUCCGAAAACUUUCGCCCAUUUCAACAUGGAGCAAAUCUCGGAACAACCGAAAAUCGACAAUCUCCCCUCAAUCACGGCUAAGGAUAUGGAGAAGAAGGACAGAAGUAAACCGCCGUGUAGUAAGCAACAAGGAUCGGACAAGGAUCCGUGGUUCAAUUACAAGACGGACCAGCAGGAGUUUUCCAGGAGGAUCGAGAAUUUCAAGCAGGAAACGGAGGCGAUGCUGCAGCGGCCCAGGACGGUACCGAUAUCAGUCGACCCAAGAACCCACCUGAGCUCCUCGGCGAACAACGUCAGCUCCAACCAGCAACGACUCUCGACCCUGAAACAGCAACAACAGCUACAGCAGCAUCCGGACUUUUUGCUUACGAAAACCCACUCGGCCACGAACGUGUUCACACGCCCCGCCUCGGCAACCAAUCGGAACUCGAUGGACUCGAUGGUGCAGUACAGCAAUAGCGGCGAGGCGACCACCCGGUACUCGUACAGUGUUGCCAAACAGUGCGGCGAUUCGAGCGAGUUGGACGGGAAAAUUAUGGCGUCGCGGUACGGCAUGAGACGUGGCAGUUCGGUGGAGAACGUCAACACCGCAACCGGUGACGUUAACGCCAACGGGGGAGGCAUGAAGAAGGUGAAAUAUGAGAACGAGAAUGACUGUCAGCGCAGAGGUUCCUUAGAGUCUUUACACAAACUGGCCACUGAAGACGGCAGCAACGUCGUCCUUGUCCAUUCGUCGUCGUCGUCAUCGUCCGUUCCUAUUGGCUGGAGGUCGGUGAGGGCUCCCGCGACGAUGGCCCCUCAAAGGCCUCCCAGAACCCGUCAGCUUUACAAUCGUCUUUAAUUACCAAACAAAAAAAUAAAAACAUAAAACAAAAAAAACCACGUUCGUGAACCAAAGAGUCCUUGCUGAGCACCAUGACCAAACUGAUCGACCAAAAACUGAAAGAAAAAUCCUCCCUCGGCAAAGAAGAGAUCCCGUUCGUGGACGAAUCUCCGGAAAAACCCUCUUUGGACAAGGAAACCCGCGUUAGGACAAGCGAUUUGUAU
rnacentral:misc_RNA from 1 species